rnacentral:misc_RNA from 1 species
CAAGAAAAUUUGUUUGUAGGUGCAGAAUUGCAUGGAGAAAGAGGUGGUGGUCUCUGUCCUUGCAAGAUAGUAAAGGUGCUGGACGAGGGUACUGUUAAAACCCAAUAUGAGGUAGCAUGGCUUGAUAAGGAUAAUAAAAUAUUGGAAACUUCGGUUGCAAAAAGAGAUGAUUUAAUAUGGAAGAAGUUUCCUUUUAGUAGAAGCAUUUUGAAGUCUUUUAUUCGUGAGUCAACAUACCGAAGUGCUCCUUGGGUGCUUCAUAACAAUUUGGCACAGAAGCAUGGAAUCUCAUGUGACCCACCGCCAGAGUUAAAAGGCAAAGUUUUCAUAGUGGAUGGACGAGUGAUCUCCAAUAAGAAAAGAAAAGAUAUAGAAGAUAGAAAAAAUGAAGCGGAUGUAGAUAAGGAAUAUGGAAAACAUAAAAAGAAGAAAGUGGAGGGUGAGGAAGUUGAAGCAACAAGCAAGGAAAGAAAUGAAGACAAUCAACCAUUGCGAGAUCCCAUCACAUAUCCCAUCGAUGAUCUGUUGGUGCAGCC